rnacentral:rRNA from 1 species
GAGUUUGAUCCUGGCUCAGGAUGAACGCUGGCGGUCUGCUUAACACAUGCAAGUCGAACGGAGCCUUUCGGGGCUUAGUGGCGGACGGGUGAGUAACGCGUGAGAAUCUGCCCUCAGGAUAGGGACAACAGUUGGAAACGACUGCUAAUACCUGAUGUGCCGAGAGGUGAAACUUUUUUGGCCUGAGGAUGAGCUCGCGUCUGAUUAGCUAGUUGGUGGGGUAAGAGCUUACCAAGGCGACGAUCAGUAGCUGGUCUGAGAGGAUGAUCAGCCACACUGGAACUGAGACACGGUCCAGACUCCUACGGGAGGCAGCAGUGGGGAAUUUUCCGCAAUGGGCGAAAGCCUGACGGAGCAAGACCGCGUGGGGGAUGAAGGUUUGUGGAUUGUAAACCCCUUUUGACAGGGAAGAAGUUCUGACGGUACCUGUCGAAUCAGCCUCGGCUAACUCCGUGCCAGCAGCCGCGGUAAUACGGAGGAGGCAAGCGUUACCCGGAAUUAUUGGGCGUAAAGCGUCCGUAGGUGGUUUAGUAAGUCUGCUGUUAAAGCGCGGGGCUUAACUCCGUAUAGGCAGUGGAAACUACUAGACUAGAGUGUGGUAGGGGUAGAGGGAAUUCCCAGUGUAGCGGUGAAAUGCGUAGAUAUUGGGAAGAACACCGGUGGCGAAGGCGCUCUACUGGGCCAUAACUGACACUGAUGGACGAAAGCUAGGGGAGCGAAAGGGAUUAGAUACCCCUGUAGUCCUAGCCGUAAACGAUGGAGACUAGGUGUUGGCCGUAUCGACCCGGUCAGUGCCGUAAGCUACGCGUUAAGUUU